rnacentral:rRNA from 1 species
CGAAUGGGGAAACCCACUUACAUAAGUAAGUAUCCUUACCUGAAUACAUAGGGUAAGGAGGCGAACCGGGGGAACUGAAACAUCUAAGUACCCCGAGGAAAAGAAAUCAACCGAGAUUCCGAAAGUAGCGGCGAGCGAAAUUGGACUAGCCCUUAAGCUUUACACGCGUUAGACGAACGGUCUGGAAAGUCCGACGAUACAGGGUGAUAGUCCCGUAGUUGACGACGUGUGUUCAGUGAAAUCGAGUAGGGCGGGACACGUGAUAUCCUGUCUGAAUAUGGGGGGAC